AUGAAAUGGCAAGGUCAUAAAUUCUGCCUAUCGUACUUUCCUUGGUUCUUCACAGGACGUCCUCCUCCUCGUUCUCCAGGACAUGAAUAUGCUGCACCUAAGAAUUUGGCUCAAGAGUCAAGAGAGAUAAACAGUUACCGUCACAUAAGGAUUCAUCUCAAGGGGUCUCCUAUUGAUGAUCUCAGCUCUUGCUCUCCACUUAUUCCCCUUUUCAGAUUUCUUUCAUCCUCCUAUGAUACACGGGUUUUCUGGAUGGCAGACAGUAGACAAGAUUAAAGUAAAAGACAAAAUAUAUCUUGAGUAUUUUGUCAGAAGAACAGACUUAUCCCUGCUUGUUGAACAUAAUAGGACUGGAAAGAGCUUUUAUAACUGGGCUCUGGUCAACCAUGGCAGGUAAGAAAGAUUUGGUGCUCGUGGUUGAUGCUGAAUCAUGCAUCAUCAGUUGUUUUCUUACAAUGAAAGGAAAUGGCAGUUUAUGAAUUCUAAAACAAAAUCACAGGGGAUUAAGGAAGAAAUGUCUGGCCAGGGGCUUUGGUUCUUAAAAAAUUAAAAUGUAAUUUAAAAAUAUUGUUAUCUUGUGUUGGCUCAGAUAAUUUUUAAAAAUUUUUUCCUCUUUUUAUAUAAGCAAUUCUCGAUUGUCCAUGAUAUUGGGGUCAAGGAAAACUUGGGAAACAAAUCCAAAGAUGGGAGUGUUUCAGUCCUUACUAGGCCUCAUUAAUCCUGCUUGUCUAGCAUUAGCCUCUGAACCUCACCUGGUAACAGUUGUAUUUCAUUUCUUUUUUACUUCUUUGUUCAUUUCCUGUUAAAGAUUAUGGUGGAUAAUAAAAUAGCCAGAAGAAUAGGGACAGAGGGCCUGUAUGAUUAUCAACUAAAUGGGUAAAUAGCCCUUGCCAUUGAGAAUUUACUAUGCUUUUUAAAUACUGACUAUUCAUUUUUUAAGUCACAAUCCAGUUUUAGAAACUAACUCAAUCUUUAUUUUCUCUAGCAAGUUUGUACUUGAACAAUGUAAACUCUUAUCCAAGGAGAGGCUAUAUUUUUAAAUCACACAAUACAUUUCAUGAAAGUACAGAUUAACUUUAACUUUAGAAAAGGGAAAAAACUAGUGCCAUUUCCACCUUCUUUCAGUGGGGAAAUAUUUAUUGAGGUGUCUUCUAAAAGAGUAAAUGAUGUUUCAAUGUCUAUCAACAUGCAGAAGAGAAUUUGCCAUACCCUGCAUGGAUGUUGUAUGUGUUUUUAUGCAUUUAACAAUAAAAAAGGGAAAGACUCUCCCACCCUCACUCUGAAAAAUUGCAGAACUGAUGCACAAAUUCAAUAAAGUUGCAGGAUGCAAAAUCAAUGUAUGGAGAUCUGUUGCAUUUGUAAUAUAACUUGAAGUCUAGAAUAAGAUAUCUAGGAAUAAACCUAACCAAAGAGGUAAAAGCUCUAUACUCUGAAAACUAUAAAACACUGAUGAAAGAAAUUGAAGAUGACAUAAACAAAUGGAAAAACGUUCCAUGCUCAUGGAUUGGGAGAACAAAUAUUGUUUUUGUUUUUCUUUUUAAUUUAAAUUCAAGUUAGUUAAUGUAUAGCAUAUUACUGGUAUCAGGAGUAGAAUGUAGUGGUUCCUCACUUACCUUUAACACCCAGUGCUUAUCCCACCAAGUGCCCUCCUUAAUGCCCAUCACCCAUUAAGCCCAUCCCCCUACCCACCUCCCCUCCAGCAACCUUCAGUUUGUUCUCUACUGUUAAGAGUCUGUUAUGAUUUACUUCCUUCUCUGUUUUCAUUUUUCCUUCCCUACCCCUAUGUUCAUUUGUUUUGUUUCUGAAAUUCCACAUAUAAGUGAAAUCACAUGGUAUUUGUGUUUCUCUGACUGACUUAUUGCGCUUGGCAUAAUACUUUCUAGCUCCAUCCACAUGGCAAAGGGCAAGAACUCAUCCUAUUUUAUGGCUGCAUAAUAUUCCACUGUGUGUAAAUAUAUAUAUUUAAAUAUAUAUAAUAUAUUAA
rnacentral:lncRNA from 1 species